AACGCACAUUGCGCCUGGUGGUAUUCCACCAGGCAUGCCUGUUUGAGCGUCAUUUCACCCUCAAACUUUUAGUUUGGUAGUGAGUGCACGUAAGUCCACUUGAAAUUUAACUUGCUGAUGAUUAGGAUUACCCAACAUCAACAACCAAAAAGUUUGACCUCAAAUCAGGUAGGACUACCCGCUGAACUUAA
rnacentral:misc_RNA from 1 species